CCCCUCUCAGGAUAGCACCUGGAGAGUUUCCAAUACUCUACCAGCCCUGGCUACUGGAGGGAGAGUCAAGCAGAGGCAUAUCCAUUCCAUUCCUAGCUUGGGCAGUGGCUAGCAAGUGGAAGACAAUAUGCUACAAGU